AGAGUUUGAUCAUGGCUCAGAUUGAACGCUGGCGGAAUGCUUUACACAUGCAAGUCGAACGGCAGCACGGACUUCGGUCUGGUGGCGAGUGGCGAACGGGUGAGUAAUAUAUCGGAACGUGCCCAGUCGUGGGGGAUAACGUAGUGAAAAUUACGCUAAUACCGCAUACGAUCUAUGGAUGAAAGCGGGGGAUCGCAAGACCUCGCGCGAUUGGAGCGGCCGAUAUCAGAUUAGGUAGUUGGUGAGGUAAAGGCUCACCAAGCCGACGAUCUGUAGCUGGUCUGAGAGGACGACCAGCCACACUGGAACUGAGACACGGUCCAGACUCCUACGGGAGGCAGCAGUGGGGAAUUUUGGACAAUGGGCGCAAGCCUGAUCCAGCCAUUCCGCGUGCAGGACGAAGGCCUUCGGGUUGUAAACUGCUUUUGUACAGAACGAAAAGCUCUGGGUUAAUACCUCGGGGUCAUGACGGUACUGUAAGAAUAAGCACCGGCUAACUACGUGCCAGCAGCCGCGGUAAU
rnacentral:rRNA from 1 species